rnacentral:rRNA from 1 species
ACCCAACAGCUAGCCCACCUAAACAAUUUCAACAAGCCCCUGUUAAUAACCCCUAAGUACCCCCGUAUUUAAAUUAAACAAACCAUUUUUCCCCCCUAGUAUAGGCGAUAGAAAGGGGACUACGGCGCAAUAGAGAAAGUACCGCAAGGGAAUGCUGAAAGAGAAGUGAAACAACCCAGUAAAGCCUAAAAAAGCAGAGAUUUAAGCUCGUACCUUUUGCAUCAUGAUUUAGCGAGUGUACCCCAAGCAAAGCGUGCUUUAGUUUGACGCCCCGAAACUACGUGAGCUACUCCAAGACAGCCUAUUAAUAGGGCACACCCGUCUCUGUGGCAAAAGAGUGGGGAGAGCUUUGAGUAGAGGUGACAAACCUACCGAACCUAGUUAUAGCUGGUUGUCCAAGAAAUGAAUAGAAGUUCAGCCUCUUGGCUUCUCUUUUCACCUUAGAUUGACCCCUAUUGAUGCACUAAAGAAACCGAAAGAGUUAGUCAAAGGGGGUACAGCCCCUUUGAAUCAAGACACAACUUUUCCAGGCGGGU